UAAGUUGUAAGAACUGCAAUUAUUUCCCAAUUUAGGCCGAGAAGAAGAAGAGGACUGAAUGUUGAAGGGAAAAUGAAGUUCUCCCCCAGGCUUCGGUCUCAGUGGAAGAAAUCCUUGAGGACUCUUGGAGACUCGUGGAUGUGUCUUUUUUUCAUUAUAUAAGACAUGCUUCUUUUCAAGAGAAAACUCAAAGGAGUAAAAGAAACCACAUUGGAAGUAUAUUUGUCAUGAAUUGAUGAAUAUAUUUGAUAUUGAAAGCCCAG